GACGAACGCUGGCGGCGCGCCUAACACAUGCAUGUCGAACGAGAGAUGAAGAGCUUGCUCUUCAAAUCGAGUGGCGAACGGGUGAGUAACGCGUGAGGAACCUGCCUCAAAGAGGGGGACAACAGUUGGAAACGACUGCUAAUACCGCAUAAGCCCACGGCUCGGCAUCGAGCAGAGGGAAAAGGAGCAAUCCGCUUUGAGAUGGCCUCGCGUCCGAUUAGCUAGUUGGUGAGGUAACGGCCCACCAAGGCGACGAUCGGUAGCCGGACUGAGAGGUUGAACGGCCACAUUGGGACUGAGACACGGCCCAGACUCCUACGGGAGGCAGCAGUGGGGAAUAUUGCACAAUGGGGGAAACCCUGAUGUAGCGACGCCGCGUGGAGGAAGAAGGUCUUCGGAUUGUAAACUCCUGUUGUUGAGGAAGAUAAUGACGGUACUCAACAAGGAAGUGACGGCUAACUACGUGCCAGCAGCCGCGGUAAAACGUAGGUCACAAGCGUUGUCCGGAAUUACUGGGUGUAAAGGGAGCGCAGGCGGGAGAACAAGUUGGAAGUGAAAUCCAUGGGCUCAACCCAUGAACUGCUUUCAAAACUGUUUUUCUUGAGUAGUGCAGAGGUAGGCGGAAUUCCCGGUGUAGCGGUGGAAUGCGUAGAUAUCGGGAGGAACACCAGUGGCGAAGGCGGCCUACUGGGCACCAACUGACGCUGAGGCUCGAAAGUGUGGGUAGCAAACAGGAUUAGAUACCCUGGUAGUCCACACCGUAAAC
rnacentral:rRNA from 1 species